rnacentral:lncRNA from 1 species
CAGCAAUCUUUGGCACUUUUUCAUGGAAAUCUAUUACAGUAAUGUACUUAAUUUUUAUCCAGAAGUGAUUUGAUAUUUAUAUAAAAAUGGCUGCAUUGGGCCUUUAAGUAGCUACCUUUAGCACGUCUCAGUACCUUAAAACAGUCUUAUGUGUUUGGUUAUACUGUAGUGGCAUGAGUCAUGAUGUCAAUGAUCACUCCUCCUAUACUGUAUGAGUCAUGUCAAGCUGAACAGGAUCAUCUUUUUUCUACACUAACUGUAUGAUGACCUACUACAGUAACUCCUUUUAUGAAAUUACAGACAGUGAUGUAGUCUAAUUGUUAGUGAGUUUUUAGAAUGGCAUAUCUAUAUCUCUGUGCAACUGAUGAGGUUAAAAUGUAGAAUGUUUUCUUAUGCUUGUUAGACAGCCUCUAAUUUCCCAGGACUUGAGCCUGAACCCAGGACUCACUGGAAAACAGUGGUAAGUGUAACUGACAAGUCAACUCAGCGACCCCGUUAUUUGUGUGAGAGCAGAGGUCAAGAAGACUUGUAAGCCUACUAACUGUUGCAUUUUAUUUUAUGUGUGCUCUUGUUGCACAAGCAAUUUCCCUGUCUAUACAACAAAUACAGUUGAACGUUCUUUCAUUGAGUGGAGCAAAUAUGUGUAAACUGUCUAAUUGUGUUGCAGAACAACAGCGGGACUCUGGCCACCUUCUCUCUUCCUCCACGGAUGACCUACCCAGUCCAGAUCCCUGCAGGGUUCACAACGCAGACAUCCUCUGGCCAGCUUUACAUGGUCAACUUUAUAGUGAUGGUGUCCCAGGUUCCAGCCGGCCACAGCCCUCUCCCAGCUCCAGAAGGGGGUACCUGUAGUGGAGUGGAAAGAUCCCAGCUCAUCUUCCCAGCAGUCAGCUAUAGUGGUCCCUUCUACUGUCCUCAAGACCAUGACCACUCCGAAGACAGAUCUGUUCUCCCCACGACCUGUGGCCCCUCCCACAGCUGUACCUCAGACACCAGAGCAGACCCUGAUACGUCCAGUCCAGGUGAUGCCUCCGGUCCAGGUGAACCACCAUCUUGAUGUUUUUGUAGCACUUUGAAAUGUUUUUGAAAUAUGUUUUACAAAUAAAAUGUAUUAUUAUUAUUCCCCAGCCACCUGAUGAGAAGCCUGUGCUACACAAACCCGUGGUCCAGCCCCCAGUUCAGGAGAACCAUCUCCUUCAGCAGCCAAAGGUUCCUUUAGCUCAGGCACGCUUUUCUGUGCAGACUCCAGUGUCCUUUUAUUUUCGUCCCAACCGCCAUCUCACCCCCCAGAGAGCCCUUUCGACAGUGGUGAUUUCAAUCUGGAUGGGAUUGACUUCGACAGUCCACAGCAGCUAGACAUGAGCCUGUCCUCAUCCCUUUCCUCUGGCUCCGCCCAGAUGUCAAGCCUUUAGGUAAAGUAUUAUAUGUUUUUU